ACGAACGCUGGCGGCGUGCUUAACACAUGCAAGUCGAACGGAAAGGCCCUGCUUUUGUGGGGUGCUCGAGUGGCGAACGGGUGAGUAACACGUGAGUAACCUGCCCUUGACUUUGGGAUCACUUCAGGAAACUGGGGCUAAUACCGGAUAGGAGCUCCUGCUGCAUGGUGGGGGUUGGAAAGUUUCGGCGGUUGGGGAUGGACUCGCGGCUUAUCAGCUUGUUGGUGGGGUAGUGGCUUACCAAGGCUUUGACGGGUAGCCGGCCUGAGAGGGUGACCGGCCACAUUGGGACUGAGAUACGGCCCAGACUCCUACGGGAGGCAGCAGUGGGGAAUAUUGCACAAUGGGCGGAAGCCUGAUGCAGCAACGCCGCGUGCGGGAUGACGGCCUUCGGGUUGUAAACCGCUUUCGCCUGUGACGAAGCGUGAGUGACGGUAAUGGGUAAAGAAGCACCGGCUAACUACGUG
rnacentral:rRNA from 1 species